rnacentral:rRNA from 1 species
AUUGAACGCUGGCGGCAGGCCUAACACAUGCAAGUCGAGCGGUAGAGAGAAGCUUGCUUCUCUUGAGAGCGGCGGACGGGUGAGUAAUGCCUAGGAAUCUGCCUGGUAGUGGGGGAUAACGUUCGGAAACGGACGCUAAUACCGCAUACGUCCUACGGGAGAAAGCAGGGGACCUUCGGGCCUUGCGCUAUCAGAUGAGCCUAGGUCGGAUUAGCUAGUUGGUGAGGUAAUGGCUCACCAAGGCGACGAUCCGUAACUGGUCUGAGAGGAUGAUCAGUCACACUGGAACUGAGACACGGUCCAGACUCCUACGGGAGGCAGCAGUGGGGAAUAUUGGACAAUGGGCGAAAGCCUGAUCCAGCCAUGCCGCGUGUGUGAAGAAGGUCUUCGGAUUGUAAAGCACUUUAAGUUGGGAGGAAGGGUUGUAGAUUAAUACUCUGCAAUUUUGACGUUACCGACAGAAUAAGCACCGGCUAACUCUGUGCCAGCAGCCGCGGUAAUACAGAGGGUGCAAGCGUUAAUCGGAAUUACUGGGCGUAAAGCGCGCGUAGGUGGUUUGUUAAGUUGGAUGUGAAAUCCCCGGGCUCAACCUGGGAACUGCAUUCAAAACUGACUGACUAGAGUAUGGGUAGAGGGUGGUGGAAUUUCCC